rnacentral:sRNA from 1 species
UAAGAUAGCUGUCUAUGACCCGCCUCAGA